rnacentral:lncRNA from 1 species
UUUUUCUUUUUUUUUUUUUUUUUUCACGGAGGUUUGUUUAGGCUCUGAGGUGGUCUUCCCAAGCCAAGGCUCUGAGGCAGGAUCUUCCCUGUAGGAAGUAAGUGCUACCACUAUCCGUCUCAGCAGAGGAGGCAGUGGCCUUGGGAAGGCCUGUCUCAGGCUGGCUGGAAAGGGAGCUUGUUCUUGUCUCUGGCCUCAGCUCUGAGUAUAUAUUUGGAUUCGAAGAGGCGGUUAUUCUGCAGUGGAAGGGGUGCUGGGUGGGGAGAUAGGUCCACAGUGAACGUGUGGAGAUGGGCCUGGGCUCUCAGACAACCAUCUCUAGAGGCCCUUUUGAGAAAAAUGUUAUGAACUCUCUAAUCUCUGGGCCUUCUGACAACUUUGAAUAAAUGCCGCUUCCUGGAAUUGGCUCAGUGGUGGAGAAUUAAGCUUGCAUCCAUACUUGGAAAGGAGUGCUAGAAGAGAAACUGCCCUCCCUAAGCCUAACACGGUCAUGGCAGUGGUGGCCAGUGCAACUUACAAGGGAAAGGUGAAUGUGGGGACAAGAAUUGAGGCCGUAGGAGUUCCUGUUGUGGCUCAGCGGGUUAAGAACCCCACUAGCAUCCAUGAGGAGGCGGGUUUGAUCCCUGGUUUCACUCAGUGGGUUAAGGAUCUGGCAUUGCUGUGGCUGUGGUAUAGGGUUCAGCUGCAGCUCCAAUUCGACCCCUAUCCGGGAGCUUCCAUACGCUGCUGGUGCAGCACUCCAUGCCCCCCCCCCCAAAGAAUUGGGGUUGUAAUUCUCUAAUCACUCCUCCUGUGUGGAGCUUCCCCUUCCACUGCCAACCUUGGGGGGGUAAGGGUCUGAUUCUAUGAAGAAGAGCUUGGCAGACUUUCUUUGUUCCACAGAGGAGUCUUUGCGGGAGGAGAGAGUUAGAGAAUCAGAAACUUAAAGAAACACCAGCCUCUAAGAACCCAAGCACUCAGGAAAUCAUCAGUCUAACGUUCCCCAAGACCUCAGGCUAAAACAUGUCAGGCUCUCCUGGCUCAGGAGCCUGUUGUGUUUUUGUUUUUCCUGGUGCAUGCAGGGCAUGGUGACAGCCUGGGCAGAAUGCCACCCGUUGGCAUGAAAUGAAGAGAAAGUGGAUGAAAGGAAGCAAGACCAAGUGCGUGUAGUCCUUGGUCUUCUUCUGACAGCCAAUUGACUACUGUUUGCCUAACCUGCUGCACAGGAGGGAAGCCUGGGCUGGGCUAGAGGGAAGGAAAGACCCUUCCGAGGUCCAGAGUGAGAAGGAGGAAGCCACCUUUUGAGGCUGCCUCUCCGUUGGGAGUUGAACUGUGUCCUCUGAAAAGGUGGGUGGGCGUCCCAAUCUUUAUACCCUAGAACUUGACCCCAGGUGGAAAUGCUAGGGAUGGAGUAGGCACAGGUGGCUGUAGAAGUCCCACUAGGGGACCACAGAUAAAGAGAGAAACCUGGGGGAUGUUGGGAGACCACUGUAAGUUCAAGAAAGCCAUCAGAACAAGGCAGGCCUGCUCGACCAGUGGAGGUGCGAGAAUUGCCCCAGGUCAUUGGGUGGGGUUUGGGCUGAGGGCUGCAUUCAGAUUCAGACCUAGGGCAAUAGUUUGAAGACUACCCGCCCUUCAGCUGAUUUGAAUACACACCUUACUGGAUGCUAAGGAGGAGCUACUAAUCCCAGAGAGGAAGAGGCGGGCCUUUCCAACCCCCACUCCCCUUGGAUGAUAAAACUGUGGCCCACCUGAUGCUCGCUUCCUUGCCGGCCCACUUGCAUCUCUCACAAGCGUCCUAUCCUAAUAAAUUUGUUUCUUGCCCAUCACUUUGUCUCUCGCUGAAUUCCCGCGCGGAGGCAUAAAGAACCGGAACCUCAGUGAGUCCAGACACAGGGUGAGUAAUUCUAAUUUAACACAGUGGGUUUAAGCCCCCAUCUGGGUUUUGGCUGGGUUUGAGUCCCAAUCUGUGUUCUGGCUAGGUUCAGGCUGUGAAUGCUGUCAGUUUCAGAAAGGGGGUCUUUACUGAGACAGUCAAGCCAAAAUGAGGUUAUUAGGAUGGACCCUAACUCAGUAUGAGUGUGGACACAGAGAUAGGCACACCUAGGAAAGAUGACGUGAAGAAACACAGGGAGAAGAUGGUCACCUCCAAGCCAAGGAAUGCUGGCAGCUUCCUAGGAGAGGCCUGGGACAGAUGCUCCCUCACAGCUCUUGGAAGGAACCAACCCUAUCAGCAGCUUGAUCAUGGACUCGGAGCCUCCGGAAGCGUGAGACAACACACUUUUGGGGUUUUUAAGCCAGCCAGCUUGCGACGCUUUAUGAUGGCGGCCUUAGGAAAUGAAUACACCCUGCUAGCCAUUCCUUUGGGAAUGGGCCCAGGAAGUUGCUAUGACAUUUCCGGGGGAAAUUGUCCCAAACCCAAUUAUCUGAUUCAUUUUCAAAUUUAUUCCAAGGGGCGAUGGCAUCAUAGCCAAGCGGAAGGAGCUUGGAUCUGGAUAGAGGUGACAUUCGGGACCACGUGGACAUCUAACAACCAGUGGACAUCAUUACCACACUGAACAGGCACAGGGGACAGUGCCCGUCCUGGGGCAUUUCGGCUGCGCAUCGGGGCUGGAUCUGGAGACACAGUCCCCGGCCGGAAUCCAAGUUCUUCCUUGAUGCGCCUUCAGUCUCCUUCACCUGUGUUAAAUGAAGGUACUAAUACCUAUUUUGUACAGACUCUUAUGAUGAUAAAAUGAGAUAAUUAACAUAUAGGUUAUAUGCCUCACACAGCGCUGGGCACAAAAAAAGGAUUCUCAUAAAUGCUUUAGGAAAUCACUGGUCAAAUGUGGUUUCCCCAGCAAUGUGUAUGUUAAUCACAGGAAAUUUCCAUUAUGAAUCCUACACAGAGUGGGGAAUUACAGCUUCAUUUCAGGCACAUUUUCAAGAAUAGGUCAGAUACAUUUUGGAGGGUAAUUUAGAGACCUUUGCCUUCUUUGUUUUUCAGCAUUUUGAUUUUUUUUUUUUAAAUUGAGGUAAAGUUAACCUGACAUUAUAUUUGUUUUGGGUGUACAUCAGUGAUUUGCUAUUUAUAUAUUUUGCAAAAUGAUAGAGGGUCUUUCUGUGGCAGAGCCAUGGGAAUGUAGCAUGUGCAGUGAAAUGAUGGGAAUUCUUAUUUAUUAGACUCCAUAUCCAGGACUGCUAUGAGCCACCCAGUUUCUCCUUUCCGUGAAAGUGCUGGCUUUCCC